AAUGAACGCUGGCGGCAUGCCUAACACAUGCAAGUCGAACGAAUGCAGGGGGCUUGCUCGCGCAUUCGGCGGCGGACGGGUGGGUAAUGCCCAGGAAUCUGCCAGAACGGUUAGAAUUGCGUCCUAACACGGGCGCUAAUCCCCCAUCCGACCAUAUAUCGAAAGGGGGGGAUCUUCGGACCUCACGGUUUCAUGUGAGCAUAGGUGGCAUUAUAUCGUUGGUGGGGUAGAGGGCUACCAAGGCGACUCUCCGUAACUGGGAUGAGAGGAGGACCAGUCAGACUGGAACUGAGACACGGUCCAGACUCCGACGGGAGGCAGCAGUGGGGAAUAUUGGGCAAUGGGGGAAAGCGUGAUACAGCAAUGCCGCGUGUGGGAAGAAGGUCUUCGGAUUGGAAAGCGCUGUAAGUUGGGAGGAAGUGAAGUAAGUUAAUACCUGGCUGUUUUGACGUUACCUAGAGAAUAAGCACCGGCUAACUUCGUG
rnacentral:rRNA from 1 species